CCUACGGGAGGCAGCAGUGGGGAAUAUUGCACAACGGGCGCAAGCCUGAUGCAGCCAUGCCGCGUGUGUGAAGAAGGCCUUCGGGUUGUAAAGCACUUUCAGCGGGGAGGAAGGCGUUAAGGUUAAUAACCUUGGCGAUUGACGUUACCCGCAGAAGAAGCACCGGCUAACUCCGUGCCAGCAGCCGCGGUAAUACGGAGGGUGCAAGCGUUAAUCGGAAUUACUGGGCGUAAAGCGCACGCAGGCGGUCUGUCAAGUCGGAUGUGAAAUCCCCGGGCUCAACCUGGGAACUGCAUUCGAAACUGGCAGGCUAGAGUCUUGUAGAGGGGGGUAGAAUUCCAGGUGUAGCGGUGAAAUGCGUAGAGAUCUGGAGGAAUACCGGUGGCGAAGGCGGCCCCCUGGACAAAGACUGACGCUCAGGUGCGAAAGCGUGGGGAGCAAACAGGAUUAGAUACCCGGGUAGUC
rnacentral:rRNA from 1 species